UUUUUCCCUUACGGUGCCUGACG
rnacentral:miRNA from 1 species